UGGGGAAUCUUGCACAAUGGGGGCAACCCUGAUGCAGCGACGCCGCGUGAGCGAUGAAGGUUUUCGAGUCGUAAAGUUCUUUUAUAUGGGAAGAUAAUGACGGUACCAUAAGAAAAAGCCCCGGCUAACUACGUGCCAGCAGCCGCGGUAAUACGUAGGUGGCAAGCGUUGUCCGGAAUUAUUGGGCGUAAAGCGCGCGCAGGUGGUUUAGAAAGUCGGAUGUGAAAGCCCACGGCUCAACCGUGGAGGGUCAUUGGAAACUAAUAAACUUGAGUGCAGGAGAGAAAAGUGGAAUUCCUAGUGUAGCGGUGAAAUGCGUAGAGAUUAGGAGGAACACCGGUGGCGAAAGCGGCUUUUUGGCCUGCAACUGACACUGAGGCGCGAAAGCGUGGGGAGCAAACAGG
rnacentral:rRNA from 1 species